rnacentral:rRNA from 1 species
GACGAACGCUGGCGGCGUGCCUAAUACAUGCAAGUCGAACGCAGAAGCCCGGCCUUUGUCUUCUGCUUGAGUUGCGAACGGGUGAGUAACACGUAAGUAACCUGCCUGGGACCGGGGGAUAACUUCAGGAAACGAGGGCUAAUACCGCAUAGCAGCACUUGCUGCAUGGUGGCUGUUGGAAAGUUGCGACGGUUGGGCAAGGAGGUGCGGCUAAGUAGUAUGAGGGUGGGGUAGUGGUAACCCAAGGCCUGGACGGGUAGCCGGCCUGAGAGGGUGACGGGCCACAUACGGCCUGGGGAGCGACCCGGAGGGCAACGGGGGGAAGCGGUGGGAAAUAGUGCGCAAUAGGCGGAGGCCUGGUGCAGCAACGUCGCGUGCGGAAUGACGGCUUUCGGGUAGGAAACCGCUUUCGACUGUGACGAAGAGUGAGUGACGGUAAUGGGUAAAGAAGCACCGGCUAACUACGUG